rnacentral:rRNA from 1 species
GUGCCAGCCGCCGCGGUAAGACGAACCGAGCGAACGUUAUUCGGAAUCACUGGGCUUAAAGGGCGCGUAGGCGGGCCGGAUAGUCAGGGGUGAAAGCCCCCAGCUCAACUGGGGAAGUGCCUCUGAUACUGCCGGCCUCGAGGGAGGUAGGGGCGUGCGGAACUUCCGGUGGAGCGGUGAAAUGCGUAGAUAUCGGAAGGAACACCGGUGGCGAAAGCGGCGCGCUGGACCUCUUCUGACGCUGAGGCGCGAAAGCCAGGGGAGCGAACGGGAUUAGAUACCCCCGUAGUCC